UUGUAAGACUUUAAUUUCCUGCCCAGGAAAUCUACAUUUUACAUAAGAUAAGGUGAAUGUUUGAAGAGAAAAGGGGAGCAGAGGAAGAGUCACUUACAAAGACAUCUUUGGUGGAAUAACUUCAGGUAUCAGCUUGUCAGAUGAAUCUGAGGAAAACUCAAGGAAUAAAGACAAAAGGACAUCGGAGUGGUACCUACGACAAAUGGUCAUAGAGGAACGCCUCUCCCAAAGAGCUCCGGAAGAAAAGAGCCCAGUGGUAAACAACCCAUAUACUCUGCAAAAAUAAGUAAACAAAACGUUUGAUAAUGCAUUGAAAUCAUCUUUUUAAAUGAUUUCCUGAGAGAGCAAGAAGUCAAAGAAUGCACAGAAGCUGAAAACAAGAGAAAAAGAAGACACUUGGAAGAUAAUAAAGGCCUAAAGCCAACUUUUCCCUAGGAAGCAUCUGCUCAAUCAUGAUAAUCUCCAGUUUCUGUUUUCAUGGAAGUGCAGAACAUAGGAAAUAGGUAAUAAAAUCAAGGACUACCCAAAAUGAAAGAUUUCACAGAUCUCUUCAUAAAAUUGAUGAAAAUCCUGGAGGGUGAAAUCAACCAAACAGAAGGAUCAGCAAGUAAGCUAAAUUCUCUAAGGUUCCCUGACUAGUAAACACAAUUUGGCUUUUAUAAUCUAUAUUUUCAACCUGCAUUCCUUCUACAUAUAUGGUCAACAAAGAUUUUUAAGUGAUAUCAAAUUGGAAAUACAAUCAGGUGACUGAUAGAAGCCAACAGAAUUCCUCUCCAGAGAACGCAGUCAUAUCCAGGCCUCAAAGAAUUAUCACAGCUGAAGUUCCAAGAAACAUGAGUUCAUGAUAGAAAAUCAUGAAAUAUGUGAGCAUAUAGGGUGAAAUUAAUGAGAGUCAGCCAAAACAAGAUACCAGCAAUAACUAUAAAUAUUGAAAUUAAAUUAAUUAGGAGAAUAUAAAAUUAGCACUUUCUAUGUUUCAAUCAAUAAGAUAUUUACUGAAAUUAUGAGCAAGGGACAACAGACUAUAUAAAUUAAAUAAUAAAAUUGGAAAUAAGUGAAAUUUUUUUUAGAAAUGAAAAAUAAAAUAAUUGAAAUGUAAACAGAUUAACAGAUUACAGGUUAACAGAUUAACAGGUUAACACAUUAAAGAGAAAACUAGGUACAGCUGAAGAAAAAUUUAAUGAACUAGAAGAUAGAUGCAAAUAUAGUAUGCUGAAAUUAACCCUAAAUGCAAAUAUAUUGAAAAUAUGAAAGCAGUUAGAAGGAGUGAAAAGAUCUAACCAUACGUUUGAUCAGAGAAACAAAAAGAUAUGGUACAAAAUAAUUAAACUAAGGCAAUAAUCAAAGGGAUAGAAACAAAUAAUUUUUGAACUAUAGAAAGACAGAAAAACCUCAGAUCACAGAAACCUACUGAUUGUCUUACAGAAAAAAUGUGUAUAUUAUCUAUAUCUGUACAAUUAGUCACCAGAUAUUUUUGGUGAAUUUUAGAGCACUAAAGCCAAGUGUGAUAUUUAAAGAAGUCUGUGAUAAGAAGAAUUAUUUUAAACUGAUAGCUACAAUAGAAAGCAGAAAAAGUAAAAGACUUUUUAAUCUUCCUUAAAAAAUGUUAAUCUAAAAUACUAUACUAACAAAGCUGUCUUUCAAGAAUAG
rnacentral:lncRNA from 1 species